GGCAGUUCUCAGGUGAUGUAUCCGGGAAUUGGGCUCCCUUCUCUCUGGUUCCAGGUGCAUCACCCAAGAACCGUA
rfam:Myotis davidii contig25617, whole genome shotgun sequence.